UACGUAGGCAGCGAGCGUUGUUCGGAAUUACUGGGCGUAAAGAGUGUGUAGGCGGCGCUCUAAGUUCGGUGUGAAAUCUCUCGGCUUAACUGGGAGGGUGCGCCGGAAACUGGAGUGCUCGAACGUGGGAGAGGAAAGCGGAAUUCCUGGUGUAGCGGUGAAAUGCGUAGAUAUCGUAAGGAAGACCAGUGGCGAAGGCGGGUCUCUGGACAGUUCCUGACGCUGAGGCACGAAGGUCAGGGGAGCAAACGGG
rnacentral:rRNA from 1 species